rnacentral:rRNA from 1 species
GACGAACGCUGGCGGCGUGCCUAAUACAUGCAAGUCGAGCGAAUCGAUGGGAGCUUGCUCCCUGAGAUUAGCGGCGGACGGGUGAGUAACACGUGGGUAACCUGCCUGUAAGACUGGGAUAACUUCGGGAAACCGGAGCUAAUACCGGAUACUUUCUUUUCUCGCAUGAGGAAAGAUGGAAAGAUGGUUCUGCUAUCACUUACAGAUGGACCCGCGGCGCAUUAGCUAGUUGGUGAGGUAACGGCUCACCAAGGCAACGAUGCUUAGCCGACCUGAGAGGGUGAUCGGCCACACUGGGACUGAGACACGGCCCAGACUCCUACGGGAGGCAGCAGUAGGGAAUCUUCCGCAAUGGACGAAAGUCUGACGGAGCAACGCCGCGUGAGCGAAGAAGGCCUUCGGGUCGUAAAGCUCUGUUGUUAGGGAAGAACAAGUACGAGAGUAACUGCUCGUACCUUGACGGUACCUAACCAGAAAGCCACGGCUAACUACGUGCCAGCCGCCGCCGUAAGAC